rnacentral:rRNA from 1 species
CCGGUUGAUCCUGCCGGACCUUACUGCUAUCGGGGUGGGAAUACGACAUGCGCGUCGAGCGUCUCCAAACUCUGUUUGAGGCGCGGCAUACGGCUCAGUAACACGUGGCUAACCUACCCUCAGGACGGGGAUAAACCCGGGAAACUGGGGCUAAUACCCGAUAGGCGAGGAAUCCUGGAAUGGUUCCUCGCCCAAAGGGCUUUGGAAGCAUACUUUUCAAAGUCGCCUGGGGAUGGGGCCGCGUCCGAUCAGGUUGUUGGUGAGGUAACGGCUCACCAAGCCUAUAACCGGUACGGGCCGUGAGAGCGGUAGCCCGGAGAUGGGCACUGAGACAAGGGCCCAGGCCCUACGGGGCGCAGCAGUCGCGAAAACUCCGCAAUGCACGAAAGUGUGACGGGGCUACCCCGAGUGCCAUCCGCUGAGGAUGGCUUUUCCUCGGUGUAACUAGCCGGGGGAAUAAGGAGAGGGCAAGACUGGUGUCAGCCGCCGCGGUAAUACCAGCUCUCCGAGUGGUAGGGAUGAUUAUUGGGCUUAAAGCGUCCGUAGCCGGCUUAGCAAGUCUCCUGUUAAAUUCAGCGACCCAAUCGUUGAGCCGCGGGAGAUACUACUAGGCUAGGAGGCGGGAGAGGCCGACGGUACUUCCGGGGUAGGGGUGAAAUCCUAUAAUCCCGGGAGGACCACCAGUGGCGAAGGCUGUCGGCUAGAACGCGCUCGACGGUGAGGGACGAAAGCUGGGGGAGCGAACCGGAUUAGAUACCCGGGUAGUCCCAGCUGUAAACGACGCGGGCUAGGUGUUGGGGUGGCUACGAGCCACUUCAGUGCCGCAGGGAAGCCAUUAAGCCCGCCGCCUGGGGAGUACGGCCGCAAGGCUGAAACUUAAAGGAAUUGGCGGGGGAGCAC